rnacentral:lncRNA from 1 species
UAUAUUCGUUGGUGAUACAAUCACGGAGGGAAAAACGAAACAAGGGUCAUUUUCGAAGCAUUUUUUGUGAGAGACGAACUGAAUGAGAUAUGAAUAUUUUCCACGGUUCAAGAAAACGCAUAUUUUUUUAUGGACGCGACUAGCCAGUAACCGUUGGCUGGCUAGCGGUCCAGAGCACACACCCUAAUAUUGGUAGUGGACCUCUCCCAGAUCCAGCUGGCAAACCCAAAAAGGAAAGAAAUGGCCCCCUCACGCACAUGGCCCCCAGGGGCGAGUCUAUCACAAUCGUAACUUCAGCUCCCCCUACUGACAUUAGCAGUAGCCUCACGCCGACGCACCAAAUCCUCCUUCCCCUUUCCAGUCGCAGACCCCCAAACCUCCCCCUUGACCUCUCCUUCUCCAUCUGUCCUCUCUUCCAUUGUCACAAUUGUUGCCCCCGUUUUGGUGGCCAUGGACCUGAGGGGUGAGCUUCUAUCUUGAUGUGCCCUCUCAGACGCCUUCUCUUUUACAAAAGCCUGUGGAACGAAGGGUUUAUCAAUUAUAGAAUAUACAACAACAUGGCAGUUAAUGCUUGUGAAAUUGCAAAAAAGAACUACUGAGACAUUAUGCAUGCAAAAUAAUCUGUUUUUUAUGGGAAAGUUGGUAUGAUGUGCAGGCAACUCUGGAAUGAUUUCUAGGCAACUCAUGAUGGAAACACAGGGAAACCCCUCUCUUGAAAUUACUAUUCUAGUUUAAGCUUGGAUUUUUUGCAAGUAUCUGCAGAGUGUUGUAGGUUGCGCGAGGCUGUUGUUUUUUUGGUUGAUCUUCAAGCUUGUUAAGGCUUUUGGGAAAGUUGUGUAUAUGUGUAGGCAAUCAGGGAGAAAAUAAUGCAGGCAGCUCAUGUUUCUUGUGUUGUAGAAAAAUAAAUUAAGGAGAAAAGAGGUCUUGAAAGUUACAGGGUUUGGCUUUUAUUAGUGAAUUUUGGGGCAAAUGUCUCCUUGAACUAUAGGUUGCACAAUUGUAGUAGUAGCUGUUGUGUUUCGUUGUGAAUUUUGCUACUGGAUUUUGGGCAAUGUAUGUAUCUGGGAUUUGCUCUAACUGUAGCUGCUGUGUUGGUUGUGUUUCUAGCUGUUUACAUAUCUAGACAAGUUUCUAUAAUAUUUGGGCAAGUAGGGAAAGCUUUAUAGGCAACUCAUGUUUAUUUAGUUCUGUGAAUAAAAAGAAACAUAACCCUCUUGAAGUUAUGGUUUUAGCUUGUGCUUUGGAUUUUGGACAUGUAUCUCCUGGGGCUGAUGUGUAUGCAGGUGAAAAAGAGAUUGAUUUAUUGUCCACCCAUGCUCAAAACCCCAAUAAGCAAAAAAUAUAUAUAAAUGUUUGCACCUUUAUAUGGGUUUAUUCUAAGCAAAACUUGCAUAUAAAAUUCCAGCAAAAUUGACACAUAUUUUGCUCGCACAAUAUUUAUGUAACGAACCCACAUAUCGAAUCAGAAUGACCUAGCGUGUAGAGGAGGAAAAUAAAGAGAAGGUUUGAAUUUUUCUCACCUUGUUCAUCCUGAUUGCAACUAUUUUUCCAGUAUUUCCCCCUUGUUUCUUCCGGCAUGAGCAUCUAGUACACCACCAAUUGCGAGAAAACGGUAAAAAAGGAAUUAGUGAGCAACUAUAGCGGGUUUUUAAGCAAAUCAAGUAUUGACAAAAGGCUAGUCCUGCCAGUACAUGAAAAUUGUUUUGUUUUCCUUUGUCUAACUAUUGGAUGUUGUACAUCCAGAGAAACCCCUUGAUGCUUUUCUUAAGUUGCCUUUUAUACUAGGACUGUGUUGAGAAAACAAAAAAAUCUCCAAGCUCUAGGAUUUGUUUAAGCAAAGUCACUGUUGGCACUAAACUACUCUUGUAUGUUUGAAGCAACUCCACUUAUUUUGCUGAAACAAAAAAGUUGGAUAUCUUUCUGCGAAGCUUACUUGAAAGUGGGUGUUGAACCAUCUUGCUUGGGCGUGUGCACAAAACCUCAAAAAUGUUGCUUUGACUUUAGAAUUUAGUGAGGCCCUGUAAACAAAAAAAACAAUCUGUUUAGGCAAGAAUAUCGACAAAACCAUAUUUACAAAAACUUAGGUGAUUUAGGCAAGUACUAUUUAUAAGUAGACAACUUAUCCUGUUGGAAAACACAACUUUUGUGCAACUAAAAUCAUUUUUUUGCUAAAAAAUAUCUCUCGUCAACUCGUGCCACACUCUCUAGUAACAAACUAUCAUGCAUUGGGCAAGUUUUGGUGAAAUAAAACCCAAUGUUCUCGGUAGCGGAUCUUUGGGCAACUCACGCCAGCAUCUCUAGCAACUAACUAUCAUGCAUUGGGCAAGUUUGGACACAUUCGGCUCAAAUCAUUGACGAUUUCAGCCCCCGCAUCUCGGCAGUGGAUCAUUGUGCAACUCACACCAGCAUCUCUAGCAACUAACUAUCAUGUGUUGGGCAAGUUUUUGACACUUUCGGCUCAAAUCAUAGACGAUUCCAGCGCCCGCAUCUCGGGAGCGGAUCUUUGGCAACUUAUGCCGACAUUUCUAGCAACUAACGAUUAUGCGUUGGGCAAGUUUUUGAAACUUUUGGCUCAAGUCCGAGACGAUUCCAGCCCCCACAUAUCGAGAGCGGAUCUUUUGCAACUUACACAAGCAUCUCUAACAACUACCUAUCUUGCGUUGGGCAAGUUUUUUCGGCUAGAAUCAUCGAUGUUUCUAGCCCUCCAUCUUGGGACCGGAUCUUUGGGUGACUUAUGCAGGCAUCUAUAGCAACUAACUGUCAUGCGUUGGGCAAGUUUCAAAAACUUUCUGCUGAAAUCAUACAAGAUUCCAGCCCCCACAUCCCCAAGUCACAAACCACCGCCGCGCUCAAAAUCGUUGGUUUGCCCAUAAACAUGGGACCCCCACACCCCUCUUCAACCUCCCUAUUCCGCCUAUAUCACAUAGAAUUGUAUAUAUGAGUAGAAAAACACAUGCUUAGGGGGUCGAUUUCAAGAUACUUACGAGGAUUUGCGGGCUAGUUCCUCAACCACUCGAGAUAACGCUUUCCCAGAUCUAACUCCACCACACUAGGUGGCCGUGACGCACAGAUGGCACUGCCCCCUUGUCUCUAGAAGAAAGCAUGUUUCCUGGCUAGAUCAAUGCCCAAAAAUGUUAUAGAUUGACUAGAAGAAAGCAUGUUUUGUGGCUGCUGACUUUCUCGGUCUAGAGUACAGUCUGUAGCUUCUUACUUUUGCUCGCUUAUUGAUGUACUAAUGGUUAACAGAAGUGUCGAUAGGGGACUUGGAAGCAGCUACAACUAGGGAAGGAGAACUAGUGAAUUGAUCAAACAGAUGGAACUGUGAAUGCACACAUCAAAGCAAUAUCCUGUUGUUAACUGCAUCGUGUGUGUGGCAUCAGUGACUACUGUAAGACAAAUAAUUUUUCAUUCAGAUGCAGUGUUGAUUUUCCUGGGAGAGUUUAGUUUUAUGUGUACUAAAAAUAGUAAAACAAUAAUGCUAUAUCCUAAUGCUUUAUUAAAUCAAUGUGAUUUUGGCGGCAUUAUUCAGCAAGCACUGAUGUGCUUCUACUUGUACACAUAUCUUGUACUAUAAGAAGUUUAGAACCGAUGGAGUUGUAACUGUAUAAACCAUCCAAGUAGGUUGAACUAAUGUGUUCUUGUACAAUUUUCAAUCUAGCUGACAUGGAUACCAUAUUCAGUAGAAAUAUUUAACUAGGCAAAGCAUACCAUAUUCAAAGUUGCUUUAUCCUAUUUGUAGAGUUGCUCUAUCCGCACUGACCCCUUUUUGUGUUGCUCUUUUCAGAAGCAGGAUGAUGCAGGUGAUGUCUUUGCUCUAUGGGAAAGAACCGAUCGUCGCGUACAACUAUGCAACUUUUGAUCCACUACUAGGCAACUCUUUAUGAUAUCUUAUGCAACUCCAGUGACAAAAAAACACCCCUGGUAGCUUGUGAAACUUCUAGUCCAGUAUUUAGGCAACUACUAAUGCCAUUUUUUGGAAGAUCCUGGAACACUUAUAAAAAUGUUACUGGGCAACUCCACUGGAUAAACGAAAAUACAUAAUAAAUCUGGGCACUUUUGGUCCACCUUCGUCUUCCCCACAUGCUUCAUCUCUCUCGCCUCGUCGUCCACUACCUUCGUCUUUCCCCACGCAACCUAUCUCACACCUCACUGCCCUCCACCUACAUAGACUGUCCGAGAACGAGACACUAAGAUACGGACAAAGCCGGGACAGAAAUGCCGUUAGCCAGGACUGGACAUCCCCAAUACUGGCCCACACGCAGAGGAGACAAGGUCAAGGGGGCCCACCAGUGACGACCAUCACCACGGCACGGGCCAAUUGACCGUCACGGACACCUGGGAAGCAGGUUUCCACGAGCCAGAUCCAGCCGACGAGGAACCCCAAGACCCGUUGCCGACAAACCCUAACUCCCCCAACGGACAACCGAGACGUCGUCGGGUCCCUGCGCGCCACCACACGGACACCGUAGGCAAUGUCAGUGCACUUGAGUUGGAAAUAAAAAAUUCAGCAUUUUUUGGUGUUUUUGUGCAAAUCAAGUGCAUUCACCGGGAAACUCAUGUGUAGUCCCAACCUGACUUGGUACACCGACAAAGCAGCCAUAUAUAGAAGAAAAAACUAAAUUCACCAAGUCAGGCCUAUUGGUGGGAUACCAAACUUUGUGAUCAAUAUGCACUUAACGCCCUUGUCUAAAACAAGAAGGGGAAAAAGCAGGCAACUCCCCUGCUUGAUUGUAGGCAACUCUGAUUAUUUCUCAAAAAAACAACUUUGAUUUUGAUUGUAGGCAAGUCUAAAAUUAAAAUACUGUAGACUUGAUCUAUUAGUUAUUUAGGACAAAAGAAUGUAGACUUGAUCUAUUAGUUAUUUUGAUUAAAGGCAACAUAGUCAAUAGUAGUAUAAUUUUAUAAGUCAUUGAUCUCGGCAUUGACGAAUUUUAUGAGUACACAAUCACUAAAGCAAAAAAAUCUGAACCUGUCAGGCAACUAAGUAACCGAAACAAUGUGUACAAUACUUUAGGAUUCAUUAUGUGAGUUAUUUUGAGGCAACUACCUACAAUGUGUGGGCAAGUUUUGGCAAAAACUCACGCAACUAAGUAACAAAUGACACUGGAUUUUGCAAUCGUUUCCUGGCAUUGCUGUGACAUAAAUCUUACCGAGACAUUGCUGUGAUUUUAUCCCCUUUCCCCCAUAAAUUAUCCUGUAAGCUCUUUCUAAUACCGAGAUGCUCAGAUUCCCAGAUUAUUCAAGAAAAAAAGAGGAUCCUCUAACUAACCAUGCCACUGCGCCAGUUACUACGAGAAACCCAGCAUUCCUUUUCUGAAAUUAAAAGGAGAGCAAAGGUUACUACUAUUACCAUGUCACAUAGCUUCCACUAGAGUUCCAGUGACACACGAGGAAGACGGGGUACUCACGAAGACAAGGGGCCCGCCAAGCUAGCAGAGAAUAUGAGCUGCACGAGCGCGACAGCCUCCGGCGGCCAGCCAUAGUUUGACCUCGGCCCCUCUGAAAUCAGCAUGCUCCCACACCCCCUGUGAGGCCAAUAAGAGCUAGAUUCGAGUGGAAUAAAACACACCUGUGCGGGAAUCAACGAUGCUUACCCGUGAUUUGAGGCCCGAUUCCUCGACCGCUGAAGAUGGCACUUCUGGCUCUCACACUUCGCCGCUAGGAGUCGAGCUGCACAGACGCGCGGUGUCCCUCCCAUUCAAACCCUCGCUUCGUGGACGCGGUGGCAGAGAAGCGGCGGCCCCGGACGCCAGCCUUCUGCCUCCGCUUGGUGGUCACCGCACGCGGAGCUCAGGCCCCUCUAUCCUGGGUCGCCGAUUGGGUUGGGUUCUCUCCUCCCACUUCUAUAAUGCCUUCCCAAUCUCCGACGAACCUCUGGCAGCGCGCCUCGAAAUGAUGAAGCGGCGGUGGAUUUGGGCGAGGGGAUGAGGGGACCGCGGUGGUGGAUUUGGGAAAGGGUAAAGGAGAGUGGAGAGAGGCUGGGGGUUGUGGUGGGCCCCUGCAACCGGGGAGACAAUCUCUUCGCACGAACCACGUCCACGCCCCGACCGUGGAACACAUGGAUAUCAUGAUUUCGAUCCGACGAUCGCGGAGGGUGUGUGCUCGAGAUAGCUAAAAAGUGCAGCUGCACUUUUUAGCAUUUAGAUGCGACUAGCCAGCAACCGUUGGCUGGCUAGCGGUCCAGAGCACACACCCUAAUAUUGGUAGUGGACCUCUCCUAGAUCCAGCUGGCAAACCUAAAAAGGAAAGAAAUGGCCCCCUCACGCACAUGGCCCCCAGGGGCGAGUCUGUCACAAUCGCAACUUCAGCUCCCCUACUGACAUUAGCAUUAGCCUCACGCCGACGCACCAAAUCCUCCUUCCCCUUUCCAGUCGCAGACCCCCAAACCUCCCCUUGACCUCCCCUUCUCCAUCUGUCCUCUCUUCCAU